UUGAACGCUGGCGGCAGGCCUAACACAUGCAAGUCGCGCGGAUGAAGGGAGCUUGCUCCUGGAUUCAGCGGCGGACGGGUGAGUAAUGCCUAGGAAUCUGCCUGGUAGUGGGGGAUAACGUCCGGAAACGGGCGCUAAUACCGCAUACGUCCUGAGGGAGAAAGUGGGGGAUCUUCGGACCUCACGCUAUCAGAUGAGCCUAGGUCGGAUUAGCUAGUUAGUGGGGUAAAGGCCUACCAAGGCGACGAUCCGUAACUGGUCUGAGAGGAUGAUCAGUCACACUGGAACUGAGACACGGUCCAGACUACUACGGGAGGCAGCAGUGGGGAAUAUUGGACAAUGGGCGAAAGCCUGAUCCAGCCAUGCCGCGUGUGUGAAGAAGGUCUUCGGAUUGUAAAGCACUUUAAGUUGGGAGGAAGGGCAGUAAGUUAAUACCUUGCUGUUUUGACGUUACCAACAGAAUAAGCACCGGCUAACUUCGUG
rnacentral:rRNA from 1 species